UGAAUGAUUUGAUUUAAAGCACCUUAAAGAGAGUUGUUCACCUCUUUUCUCUGUUUUGUAGUGUCGGUCUUUUUGUACUGUCUCUACGUUUUUUUAUUUCUUCCGUUUAUAUUAUAGUUUGUUUUGAUUUCUUCCAAUCCUUUCCAACUUUUGUUAGCAUUUUAAGUAAGUGAUUAAAGAGAAAAAAGUCUAAUUCUUUUAGUUUGAAAGCAUUUCUUUCAGCUGAAGUUACCCUUUGAAGACCAUCAAGUGUGGAAUGUGAAACAGAUGAAGAGCCAUGGAUGACAAGGAAGCCAAAAUCCUAGAACUCAACAUGUCACUUCUAGAUUAAGGUGAAGUUAAUUUGUUUCCUUUAAUGAGUUCUAUGUGUAGGGGUGUUUUACCCAUUUGAUGUCUGUGUCUCUUAAGUGGGUAUUUCUUCAGUUGUAUUGUCUUUCAUUUUCUUUGUUCGUGUCUGUGAACGAUUUGAUUUAAAGCACCUUAAAGAGAGUUGUUCACAUCUUUCUUCUGUUUUGUAGCAUUAGUGAUAUUAUACUGUUUCUAAGUUUUUUAAUUUCUUCUGUCUAUAGUUUGUUUAAAUUUUUUGUCUCUUCUUCUUGUUUUUUUUUCUUUUUCUUAUCCUUUCCAACUACUGUUAUUUAUUAGUGUUUAAAUAGAUCAAAGUCUAAUUCUUUUAGUUUGAAAGUAUUUCUUUCAGUUGAAGUUGCCCUGUCAAGUGUGACAUGUAAAACAGAUGAAGAAUCAUGGAAGAAAAGGAAGCAAAACUUCAAGAACUCAACAUGUCACUACUAAUUAAGGUGAUGUUAAUUUGUUUCCUUUCUUGAGUUCUAUCUGUAGGGUUAUUUUACCCAUGUGAUGUCUGUGUCUCUAAUGUGGGUCUUUCUUCAGUUGUAUUGUCUUUCUUAUUCUUUGUUGGUGAAUGAUUUGAUUUAAAGCACCUUAAAGAGAGUUGUUCACCUCUUUUCUCUGUUUUGUAGUGUCGGUCUUUUUGUACUGUCUCUACGUUUUUUUAUUUCUUCCGUUUAUAUUAUAGUUUGUUUUGAUUUCUUCCAAUCCUUUCCAACUUUUGUUAGCAUUUUAAGUAAGUGAUUAAAGAGAAAAAAGUCUAAUUCUUUUAGUUUGAAAGCAUUUCUUUCAGCUGAAGUUACCCUUUGAAGACCAUCAAGUGUGGAAUGUGAAACAGAUGAAGAGCCAUGGAUGACAAGGAAGCCAAAAUCCUAGAACUCAACAUGUCACUUCUAGAUUAAGGUGAAGUUAAUUUGUUUCCUUUAAUGAGUUCUAUGUGUAGGGGUGUUUUACCCAUUUGAUGUCUGUGUCUCUUAAGUGGGUAUUUCUUCAGUUGUAUUGUCUUUCAUUUUCUUUGUUCGUGUCUGUGAACGAUUUGAUUUAAAGCACCUUAAAGAGAGUUGUUCACAUCUUUCUUCUGUUUUGUAGCAUUAGUGAUAUUAUACUGUUUCUAAGUUUUUUAAUUUCUUCUGUCUAUAGUUUGUUUAAAUUUUUUGUCUCUUCUUCUUGUUUUUUUUUCUUUUUCUUAUCCUUUCCAACUACUGUUAUUUAUUAGUGUUUAAAUAGAUCAAAGUCUAAUUCUUUUAGUUUGAAAGUAUUUCUUUCAGUUGAAGUUGCCCUGUCAAGUGUGACAUGUAAAACAGAUGAAGAAUCAUGGAAGAAAAGGAAGCAAAACUUCAAGAACUCAACAUGUCACUACUAAUUAAGGUGAUGUUAAUUUGUUUCCUUUCUUGAGUUCUAUCUGUAGGGUUAUUUUACCCAUGUGAUGUCUGUGUCUCUAAUGUGGGUCUUUCUUCAGUUGUAUUGUCUUUCUUAUUCUUUGUUGGUGAAUGAUUUGAUUUAAAGCACCUUAAAGAGAGUUGUUCACCUCUUUUCUCUGUUUUGUAGUGUCGGUCUUUUUGUACUGUCUCUACGUUUUUUUAUUUCUUCCGUUUAUAUUAUAGUUUGUUUUGAUUUCUUCCAAUCCUUUCCAACUUUUGUUAGCAUUUUAAGUAAGUGAUUAAAGAGAAAAAAGUCUAAUUCUUUUAGUUUGAAAGCAUUUCUUUCAGCUGAAGUUACCCUUUGAAGACCAUCAAGUGUGGAAUGUGAAACAGAUGAAGAGCCAUGGAUGACAAGGAAGCCAAAAUCCUAGAACUCAACAUGUCACUUCUAGAUUAAGGUGAAGUUAAUUUGUUUCCUUUAAUGAGUUCUAUGUGUAGGGGUGUUUUACCCAUUUGAUGUCUGUGUCUCUUAAGUGGGUAUUUCUUCAGUUGUAUUGUCUUUCAUUUUCUUUGUUCGUGUCUGUGAACGAUUUGAUUUAAAGCACCUUAAAGAGAGUUGUUCACAUCUUUCUUCUGUUUUGUAGCAUUAGUGAUAUUAUACUGUUUCUAAGUUUUUUAAUUUCUUCUGUCUAUAGUUUGUUUAAAUUUUUUGUCUCUUCUUCUUCUGUUUUUUUUUCUUUUUCUUAUCCUUUCCAACUACUGUUAUUUAUUAGUGUUUAAAUAGAUCAAAGUCUAAUUCUUUUAGUUUGAAAGUAUUUCUUUCAGUUGAAGUUGCCCUGUCAAGUGUGACAUGUAAAACAGGAAUUUAUUUAUCUAUUAACUUUUGGCUAACAAGAUUUAAUUAAUUUAAAAAAUGGUUAGACCUCAGUAUGAAAAGUUAAAAAAUUAGUUUCUUUUUCCAGCCAAUGUUAAGCCAUUUCUUUUACAGAUGAAGAAUCAUGGAAGAAAAGGAAGCAAAACUUCAAGAACUCAACAUGUCACUACUAAUUAAGGUGAUGUUAAUUUGUUUCCUUUCUUGAGUUCUAUCUGUAGGGUUAUUUUACCCAUGUGAUGUCUGUGUCUCUAAUGUGGGUCUUUCUUCAGUUGUAUUGUCUUUCUUAUUCUUUGUUCUUGUUGGUGAAUGAUUUGAUUUAAAGCACCUUAAAGAGAGUUGUUCACCUCUUUUCUCUGUUUUGUAGUGUCGGUCUUUUUGUACUGUCUCUACGUUUUUUUAUUUCUUCCGUUUAUAUUAUAGUUUGUUUUGAUUUCUUCUCAUUUUCUUCUGUUUUGUUUUCUUCCAAUCCUUUCCAACUUUUGUUAGCAUUUUAAGUAAGUGAUUAAAGAGAAAAAAGUCUAAUUCUUUUAGUUUGAAAGCAUUUCUUUCAGCCGAAGUUACCCUUUGAAGACCAUCAAGUGUGGAAUGUGAAACAGAUGAAGAGCCAUGGAUGACAAGGAAGCCAAAAUCCUAGAACUCAACAUGUCACUUCUAGAUUAAGGUGAAGUUAAUUUGUUUCCUUUAAUGAGUUCUAUGUGUAGGGGUGUUUUACCCAUUUGAUGUCUGUGUCUCUUAAGUGGGUAUUUCUUCAGUUGUAUUGUCUUUCAUUUUCUUUGUUCGUGUCUGUGAACGAUUUGAUUUAAAGCACCUUAAAGAGAGUUGUUCACAUCUUUCUUCUGUUUUGUAGCAUUAGUGAUAUUAUACUGUUUCUAAGUUUUUUAAUUUCUUCUGUCUAUAGUUUGUUUAAAUUUUUUGUCUCUUCUUCUUCUGUUUUUUUUUCUUUUUCUUAUCCUUUCCAACUACUGUUAUUUAUUAGUGUUUAAAUAGAUCAAAGUCUAAUUCUUUUGGUUUGAAAGUAUUUCUUUCAGUUGAAGUUGCCCUGUCAAGUGUGACAUGUAAAACAGAUGAAGAAUCAUGGAAGAAAAGGAAGCAAAACUUCAAGAACUCAACAUGUCACUACUAAUUAAGGUGAUGUUAAUUUGUUUCCUUUCUUGAGUUCUAUCUGUAGGGUUAUUUUACCCAUGUGAUGUCUGUGUCUCUAAUGUGGGUCUUUCUUCAGUUGUAUUGUCUUUCUUAUUCUUUGUUCUUGUUGGUGAAUGAUUUGAUUUAAAGCACCUUAAAGAGAGUUGUUCACCUCUUUUCUCUGUUUUGUAGUGUCGGUCUUUUUGUACUGUCUCUACGUUUUUUUAUUUCUUCCGUUUAUAUUAUAGUUUGUUUUGAUUUCUUCUCAUUUUCUUCUGUUUUGUUUUCUUCCAAUCCUUUCCAACUUUUGUUAGCAUUUUAAGUAAGUGAUUAAAGAGAAAAAAGUCUAAUUCUUUUAGUUUGAAAGCAUUUCUUUCAGCUGAAGUUACCCUUUGAAGACCAUCAAGUGUGGAAUGUGAAACAGAUGAAGAGCCAUGGAUGACAAGGAAGCCAAAAUCCUAGAACUCAACAUGUCACUUCUAGAUUAAGGUGAAGUUAAUUUGUUUCCUUUAAUGAGUUCUAUGUGUAGGGGUGUUUUACCCAUUUGAUGUCUGUGUCUCUUAAGUGGGUAUUUCUUCAGUUGUAUUGUCUUUCAUUUUCUUUGUUCGUGUCUGUGAACGAUUUGAUUUAAAGCACCUUAAAGAGAGUUGUUCACAUCUUUCUUCUGUUUUGUAGCAUUAGUGAUAUUAUACUGUUUCUAAGUUUUUUAAUUUCUUCUGUCUAUAGUUUGUUUAAAUUUUUUGUCUCUUCUUCUUCUGUUUUUUUUUCUUUUUCUUAUCCUUUCCAACUACUGUUAUUUAUUAGUGUUUAAAUAGAUCAAAGUCUAAUUCUUUUAGUUUGAAAGUAUUUAUUUCAGUUGAAGUUGCCCUGUCAAGUGUGACAUGUAAAACAGAUGAAGAAUCAUGGAAGAAAAGGAAGCAAAACUUCAAGAACUCAACAUGUCACUACUAAUUAAGGUGAUGUUAAUUUGUUUCCUUUCUUGAGUUCUAUCUGUAGGGUUAUUUUACCCAUGUGAUGUCUGUGUCUCUAAUGUGGGUCUUUCUUCAGUUGUAUUGUCUUUCUUAUUCUUUGUUCUUGUUGGUGAAUGAUUUGAUUUAAAGCACCUUAAAGAGAGUUGUUCACCUCUUUUCUCUGUUUUGUAGUGUCGGUCUUUUUGUACUGUCUCUACGUUUUUUUAUUUCUUCCGUUUAUAUUAUAGUUUGUUUUGAUUUCUUCUCAUUUUCUUCUGUUUUGUUUUCUUCCAAUCCUUUCCAACUUUUGUUAGCAUUUUAAGUAAGUGAUUAAAGAGAAAAAAGUCUAAUUCUUUUAGUUUGAAAGCAUUUCUUUCAGCUGAAGUUACCCUUUGAAGACCAUCAAGUGUGGAAUGUGAAACAGAUGAAGAGCCAUGGAUGACAAGGAAGCCAAAAUCCUAGAACUCAACAUGUCACUUCUAGAUUAAGGUGAAGUUAAUUUGUUUCCUUUAAUGAGUUCUAUGUGUAGGGGUGUUUUACCCAUUUGAUGUCUGUGUCUCUUAAGUGGGUAUUUCUUCAGUUGUAUUGUCUUUCAUUUUCUUUGUUCGUGUCUGUGAACGAUUUGAUUUAAAGCACCUUAAAGAGAGUUGUUCACAUCUUUCUUCUGUUUUGUAGCAUUAGUGAUAUUAUACUGUUUCUAAGUUUUUUAAUUUCUUCUGUCUAUAGUUUGUUUAAAUUUUUUGUCUCUUCUUCUUCUGUUUUUUUUUCUUUUUCUUAUCCUUUCCAACUACUGUUAUUUAUUAGUGUUUAAAUAGAUCAAAGUCUAAUUCUUUUAGUUUGAAAGUAUUUAUUUCAGUUGAAGUUGCCCUGUCAAGUGUGACAUGUAAAACAGAUGAAGAAUCAUGGAAGAAAAGGAAGCAAAACUUCAAGAACUCAACAUGUCACUACUAAUUAAGGUGAUGUUAAUUUGUUUCCUUUCUUGAGUUCUAUCUGUAGGGUUAUUUUACCCAUGUGAUGUCUGUGUCUCUAAUGUGGGUCUUUCUUCAGUUGUAUUGUCUUUCUUAUUCUUUGUUCUUGUUGGUGAAUGAUUUGAUUUAAAGCACCUUAAAGAGAGUUGUUCACCUCUUUUCUCUGUUUUGUAGUGUCGGUCUUUUUGUACUGUCUCUACGUUUUUUUAUUUCUUCCGUUUAUAUUAUAGUUUGUUUUGAUUUCUUCUCAUUUUCUUCUGUUUUGUUUUCUUCCAAUCCUUUCCAACUUUUGUUAGCAUUUUAAGUAAGUGAUUAAAGAGAAAAAAGUCUAAUUCUUUUAGUUUGAAAGCAUUUCUUUCAGCCGAAGUUACCCUUUGAAGACCAUCAAGUGUGGAAUGUGAAACAGAUGAAGAGCCAUGGAUGACAAGGAAGCCAAAAUCCUAGAACUCAACAUGUCACUUCUAGAUUAAGGUGAAGUUAAUUUGUUUCCUUUAAUGAGUUCUAUGUGUAGGGGUGUUUUACCCAUUUGAUGUCUGUGUCUCUUAAGUGGGUAUUUCUUCAGUUGUAUUGUCUUUCAUUUUCUUUGUUCGUGUCUGUGAACGAUUUGAUUUAAAGCACCUUAAAGAGAGUUGUUCACAUCUUUCUUCUGUUUUGUAGCAUUAGUGAUAUUAUACUGUUUCUAAGUUUUUUAAUUUCUUCUGUCUAUAGUUUGUUUAAAUUUUUUGUCUCUUCUUCUUCUGUUUUUUUUUCUUUUUCUUAUCCUUUCCAACUACUGUUAUUUAUUAGUGUUUAAAUAGAUCAAAGUCUAAUUCUUUUGGUUUGAAAGUAUUUCUUUCAGUUGAAGUUGCCCUGUCAAGUGUGACAUGUAAAACAGAUGAAGAAUCAUGGAAGAAAAGGAAGCAAAACUUCAAGAACUCAACAUGUCACUACUAAUUAAGGUGAUGUUAAUUUGUUUCCUUUCUUGAGUUCUAUCUGUAGGGUUAUUUUACCCAUGUGAUGUCUGUGUCUCUAAUGUGGGUCUUUCUUCAGUUGUAUUGUCUUUCUUAUUCUUUGUUCUUGUUGGUGAAUGAUUUGAUUUAAAGCACCUUAAAGAGAGUUGUUCACCUCUUUUCUCUGUUUUGUAGUGUCGGUCUUUUUGUACUGUCUCUACGUUUUUUUAUUUCUUCCGUUUAUAUUAUAGUUUGUUUUGAUUUCUUCCAAUCCUUUCCAACUUUUGUUAGCAUUUUAAGUAAGUGAUUAAAGAGAAAAAAGUCUAAUUCUUUUAGUUUGAAAGCAUUUCUUUCAGCUGAAGUUACCCUUUGAAGACCAUCAAGUGUGGAAUGUGAAACAGAUGAAGAGCCAUGGAUGACAAGGAAGCCAAAAUCCUAGAACUCAACAUGUCACUUCUAGAUUAAGGUGAAGUUAAUUUGUUUCCUUUAAUGAGUUCUAUGUGUAGGGGUGUUUUACCCAUUUGAUGUCUGUGUCUCUUAAGUGGGUAUUUCUUCAGUUGUAUUGUCUUUCAUUUUCUUUGUUCGUGUCUGUGAACGAUUUGAUUUAAAGCACCUUAAAGAGAGUUGUUCACAUCUUUCUUCUGUUUUGUAGCAUUAGUGAUAUUAUACUGUUUCUAAGUUUUUUAAUUUCUUCUGUCUAUAGUUUGUUUAAAUUUUUUGUCUCUUCUUCUUCUGUUUUUUUUUCUUUUUCUUAUCCUUUCCAACUACUGUUAUUUAUUAGUGUUUAAAUAGAUCAAAGUCUAAUUCUUUUAGUUUGAAAGUAUUUAUUUCAGUUGAAGUUGCCCUGUCAAGUGUGACAUGUAAAACAGAUGAAGAAUCAUGGAAGAAAAGGAAGCAAAACUUCAAGAACUCAACAUGUCACUACUAAUUAAGGUGAUGUUAAUUUGUUUCCUUUCUUGAGUUCUAUCUGUAGGGUUAUUUUACCCAUGUGAUGUCUGUGUCUCUAAUGUGGGUCUUUCUUCAGUUGUAUUGUCUUUCUUAUUCUUUGUUCUUGUUGGUGAAUGAUUUGAUUUAAAGCACCUUAAAGAGAGUUGUUCACCUCUUUUCUCUGUUUUGUAGUGUCGGUCUUUUUGUACUGUCUCUACGUUUUUUUAUUUCUUCCGUUUAUAUUAUAGUUUGUUUUGAUUUCUUCCAAUCCUUUCCAACUUUUGUUAGCAUUUUAAGUAAGUGAUUAAAGAGAAAAAAGUCUAAUUCUUUUAGUUUGAAAGCAUUUCUUUCAGCUGAAGUUACCCUUUGAAGACCAUCAAGUGUGGAAUGUGAAACAGAUGAAGAGCCAUGGAUGACAAGGAAGCCAAAAUCCUAGAACUCAACAUGUCACUUCUAGAUUAAGGUGAAGUUAAUUUGUUUCCUUUAAUGAGUUCUAUGUGUAGGGGUGUUUUACCCAUUUGAUGUCUGUGUCUCUUAAGUGGGUAUUUCUUCAGUUGUAUUGUCUUUCAUUUUCUUUGUUCGUGUCUGUGAACGAUUUGAUUUAAAGCACCUUAAAGAGAGUUGUUCACAUCUUUCUUCUGUUUUGUAGCAUUAGUGAUAUUAUACUGUUUCUAAGUUUUUUAAUUUCUUCUGUCUAUAGUUUGUUUAAAUUUUUUGUCUCUUCUUCUUCUGUUUUUUUUUCUUUUUCUUAUCCUUUCCAACUACUGUUAUUUAUUAGUGUUUAAAUAGAUCAAAGUCUAAUUCUUUUGGUUUGAAAGUAUUUCUUUCAGUUGAAGUUGCCCUGUCAAGUGUGACAUGUAAAACAGAUGAAGAAUCAUGGAAGAAAAGGAAGCAAAACUUCAAGAACUCAACAUGUCACUACUAAUUAAGGUGAUGUUAAUUUGUUUCCUUUCUUGAGUUCUAUCUGUAGGGUUAUUUUACCCAUGUGAUGUCUGUGUCUCUAAUGUGGGUCUUUCUUCAGUUGUAUUGUCUUUCUUAUUCUUUGUUCUUGUUGGUGAAUGAUUUGAUUUAAAGCACCUUAAAGAGAGUUGUUCACCUCUUUUCUCUGUUUUGUAGUGUCGGUCUUUUUGUACUGUCUCUACGUUUUUUUAUUUCUUCCGUUUAUAUUAUAGUUUGUUUUGAUUUCUUCCAAUCCUUUCCAACUUUUGUUAGCAUUUUAAGUAAGUGAUUAAAGAGAAAAAAGUCUAAUUCUUUUAGUUUGAAAGCAUUUCUUUCAGCUGAAGUUACCCUUUGAAGACCAUCAAGUGUGGAAUGUGAAACAGAUGAAGAGCCAUGGAUGACAAGGAAGCCAAAAUCCUAGAACUCAACAUGUCACUUCUAGAUUAAGGUGAAGUUAAUUUGUUUCCUUUAAUGAGUUCUAUGUGUAGGGGUGUUUUACCCAUUUGAUGUCUGUGUCUCUUAAGUGGGUAUUUCUUCAGUUGUAUUGUCUUUCAUUUUCUUUGUUCGUGUCUGUGAACGAUUUGAUUUAAAGCACCUUAAAGAGAGUUGUUCACAUCUUUCUUCUGUUUUGUAGCAUUAGUGAUAUUAUACUGUUUCUAAGUUUUUUAAUUUCUUCUGUCUAUAGUUUGUUUAAAUUUUUUGUCUCUUCUUCUUCUGUUUUUUUUUCUUUUUCUUAUCCUUUCCAACUACUGUUAUUUAUUAGUGUUUAAAUAGAUCAAAGUCUAAUUCUUUUAGUUUGAAAGUAUUUAUUUCAGUUGAAGUUGCCCUGUCAAGUGUGACAUGUAAAACAGAUGAAGAAUCAUGGAAGAAAAGGAAGCAAAACUUCAAGAACUCAACAUGUCACUACUAAUUAAGGUGAUGUUAAUUUGUUUCCUUUCUUGAGUUCUAUCUGUAGGGUUAUUUUACCCAUGUGAUGUCUGUGUCUCUAAUGUGGGUCUUUCUUCAGUUGUAUUGUCUUUCUUAUUCUUUGUUCUUGUUGGUGAAUGAUUUGAUUUAAAGCACCUUAAAGAGAGUUGUUCACCUCUUUUCUCUGUUUUGUAGUGUCGGUCUUUUUGUACUGUCUCUACGUUUUUUUAUUUCUUCCGUUUAUAUUAUAGUUUGUUUUGUUUUCUUCCAAUCCUUUCCAACUUUUGUUAGCAUUUUAAGUAAGUGAUUAAAGAGAAAAAAGUCUAAUUCUUUUAGUUUGAAAGCAUUUCUUUCAGCUGAAGUUACCCUUUGAAGACCAUCAAGUGUGGAAUGUGAAACAGAUGAAGAGCCAUGGAUGACAAGGAAGCCAAAAUCCUAGAACUCAACAUGUCACUUCUAGAUUAAGGUGAAGUUAAUUUGUUUCCUUUAAUGAGUUCUAUGUGUAGGGGUGUUUUACCCAUUUGAUGUCUGUGUCUCUUAAGUGGGUAUUUCUUCAGUUGUAUUGUCUUUCAUUUUCUUUGUUCGUGUCUGUGAACGAUUUGAUUUAAAGCACCUUAAAGAGAGUUGUUCACAUCUUUCUUCUGUUUUGUAGCAUUAGUGAUAUUAUACUGUUUCUAAGUUUUUUAAUUUCUUCUGUCUAUAGUUUGUUUAAAUUUUUUGUCUCUUCUUCUUCUGUUUUUUUUUCUUUUUCUUAUCCUUUCCAACUACUGUUAUUUAUUAGUGUUUAAAUAGAUCAAAGUCUAAUUCUUUUAGUUUGAAAGUAUUUAUUUCAGUUGAAGUUGCCCUGUCAAGUGUGACAUGUAAAACAGAUGAAGAAUCAUGGAAGAAAAGGAAGCAAAACUUCAAGAACUCAACAUGUCACUACUAAUUAAGGUGAUGUUAAUUUGUUUCCUUUCUUGAGUUCUAUCUGUAGGGUUAUUUUACCCAUGUGAUGUCUGUGUCUCUAAUGUGGGUCUUUCUUCAGUUGUAUUGUCUUUCUUAUUCUUUGUUCUUGUUGGUGAAUGAUUUGAUUUAAAGCACCUUAAAGAGAGUUGUUCACCUCUUUUCUCUGUUUUGUAGUGUCGGUCUUUUUGUACUGUCUCUACGUUUUUUUAUUUCUUCCGUUUAUAUUAUAGUUUGUUUUGAUUUCUUCUCAUUUUCUUCUGUUUUGUUUUCUUCCAAUCCUUUCCAACUUUUGUUAGCAUUUUAAGUAAGUGAUUAAAGAGAAAAAAGUCUAAUUCUUUUAGUUUGAAAGCAUUUCUUUCAGCCGAAGUUACCCUUUGAAGACCAUCAAGUGUGGAAUGUGAAACAGAUGAAGAGCCAUGGAUGACAAGGAAGCCAAAAUCCUAGAACUCAACAUGUCACUUCUAGAUUAAGGUGAAGUUAAUUUGUUUCCUUUAAUGAGUUCUAUGUGUAGGGGUGUUUUACCCAUUUGAUGUCUGUGUCUCUUAAGUGGGUAUUUCUUCAGUUGUAUUGUCUUUCAUUUUCUUUGUUCGUGUCUGUGAACGAUUUGAUUUAAAGCACCUUAAAGAGAGUUGUUCACAUCUUUCUUCUGUUUUGUAGCAUUAGUGAUAUUAUACUGUUUCUAAGUUUUUUAAUUUCUUCUGUCUAUAGUUUGUUUAAAUUUUUUGUCUCUUCUUCUUCUGUUUUUUUUUCUUUUUCUUAUCCUUUCCAACUACUGUUAUUUAUUAGUGUUUAAAUAGAUCAAAGUCUAAUUCUUUUAGUUUGAAAGUAUUUAUUUCAGUUGAAGUUGCCCUGUCAAGUGUGACAUGUAAAACAGAUGAAGAAUCAUGGAAGAAAAGGAAGCAAAACUUCAAGAACUCAACAUGUCACUACUAAUUAAGGUGAUGUUAAUUUGUUUCCUUUCUUGAGUUCUAUCUGUAGGGUUAUUUUACCCAUGUGAUGUCUGUGUCUCUAAUGUGGGUCUUUCUUCAGUUGUAUUGUCUUUCUUAUUCUUUGUUCUUGUUGGUGAAUGAUUUGAUUUAAAGCACCUUAAAGAGAGUUGUUCACCUCUUUUCUCUGUUUUGUAGUGUCGGUCUUUUUGUACUGUCUCUACGUUUUUUUAUUUCUUCCGUUUAUAUUAUAGUUUGUUUUGAUUUCUUCUCAUUUUCUUCUGUUUUGUUUUCUUCCAAUCCUUUCCAACUUUUGUUAGCAUUUUAAGUAAGUGAUUAAAGAGAAAAAAGUCUAAUUCUUUUAGUUUGAAAGCAUUUCUUUCAGCUGAAGUUACCCUUUGAAGACCAUCAAGUGUGGAAUGUGAAACAGAUGAAGAGCCAUGGAUGACAAGGAAGCCAAAAUCCUAGAACUCAACAUGUCACUUCUAGAUUAAGGUGAAGUUAAUUUGUUUCCUUUAAUGAGUUCUAUGUGUAGGGGUGUUUUACCCAUUUGAUGUCUGUGUCUCUUAAGUGGGUAUUUCUUCAGUUGUAUUGUCUUUCAUUUUCUUUGUUCGUGUCUGUGAACGAUUUGAUUUAAAGCACCUUAAAGAGAGUUGUUCACAUCUUUCUUCUGUUUUGUAGCAUUAGUGAUAUUAUACUGUUUCUAAGUUUUUUAAUUUCUUCUGUCUAUAGUUUGUUUAAAUUUUUUGUCUCUUCUUCUUCUGUUUUUUUUUCUUUUUCUUAUCCUUUCCAACUACUGUUAUUUAUUAGUGUUUAAAUAGAUCAAAGUCUAAUUCUUUUAGUUUGAAAGUAUUUAUUUCAGUUGAAGUUGCCCUGUCAAGUGUGACAUGUAAAACAGAUGAAGAAUCAUGGAAGAAAAGGAAGCAAAACUUCAAGAACUCAACAUGUCACUACUAAUUAAGGUGAUGUUAAUUUGUUUCCUUUCUUGAGUUCUAUCUGUAGGGUUAUUUUACCCAUGUGAUGUCUGUGUCUCUAAUGUGGGUCUUUCUUCAGUUGUAUUGUCUUUCUUAUUCUUUGUUCUUGUUGGUGAAUGAUUUGAUUUAAAGCACCUUAAAGAGAGUUGUUCACCUCUUUUCUCUGUUUUGUAGUGUCGGUCUUUUUGUACUGUCUCUACGUUUUUUUAUUUCUUCCGUUUAUAUUAUAGUUUGUUUUGAUUUCUUCUCAUUUUCUUCUGUUUUGUUUUCUUCCAAUCCUUUCCAACUUUUGUUAGCAUUUUAAGUAAGUGAUUAAAGAGAAAAAAGUCUAAUUCUUUUAGUUUGAAAGCAUUUCUUUCAGCUGAAGUUACCCUUUGAAGACCAUCAAGUGUGGAAUGUGAAACAGAUGAAGAGCCAUGGAUGACAAGGAAGCCAAAAUCCUAGAACUCAACAUGUCACUUCUAGAUUAAGGUGAAGUUAAUUUGUUUCCUUUAAUGAGUUCUAUGUGUAGGGGUGUUUUACCCAUUUGAUGUCUGUGUCUCUUAAGUGGGUAUUUCUUCAGUUGUAUUGUCUUUCAUUUUCUUUGUUCGUGUCUGUGAACGAUUUGAUUUAAAGCACCUUAAAGAGAGUUGUUCACAUCUUUCUUCUGUUUUGUAGCAUUAGUGAUAUUAUACUGUUUCUAAGUUUUUUAAUUUCUUCUGUCUAUAGUUUGUUUAAAUUUUUUGUCUCUUCUUCUUCUGUUUUUUUUUCUUUUUCUUAUCCUUUCCAACUACUGUUAUUUAUUAGUGUUUAAAUAGAUCAAAGUCUAAUUCUUUUAGUUUGAAAGUAUUUCUUUCAGCUGAAGUUACCCUUUGAAGACCAUCAAGUGUGGAAUGUGAAACAGAUGAAGAGCCAUGGAUGACAAGGAAGCCGAAAUCCUAGAACUCAACAUGUCACUUCUAGAUUAAGGUGAAGUUUAUUUGUUUCCUUUCAUGAGUCCUGCCUACAGCUUUUUUUAAAUUGUUUUCUCUUCAUAUUAGUUUAGUUCUUUUCCUAUUUAUUUUAACUUUUAUUAGAUAGUGUUGGAUGAGAAAAAGUCAAUUUUUUUUUUCUGUGAAAGCAUUUCUUUCAGCUUGGGUUUCAAGAUAUUUUGGUGUGGAAUUCAAAACCAGAUGAGUUUGUUUUUUUACCUUCAAUUUUAGGCUGCUAUGAAGAAAAAAAUAAAAACAAUAUUUAGACACCAGCAUCUUAUAUAUGUUUUUUUAUGUUUUAUUUGGAGUGUUGUAAAGUGUUUGGCUCUCAAACAAUUCUUUUGAAAACAUGGGGUUUGAGUUUCAGGCUUUUUAGUGUGCAUUGAAUCAACUUUAUUGGGUACCUCACAAUAGUUGGGGAAAAGUAAAGUUGUGUUUGCCACCUGACAUCCUUGGUAAACAUGGGCCACAGAAAAAAAAGACCUAUAGAUCAUAAAUUCUGAAUUGGAUACUUUACUUAGAUUAGUUGUGUGACCAAAACAUAUUGUUCAUUAAAUUACCUGACAUCAGCUGGGAAAACUUUUUUUUUUUACACCCUUCUCAUUUACACUGCAUCAUCUGCAUACAAAAGCUGUUCUCCUCUUUAGCAACACAUUUUUUCUCCACUCAGGGUUAUUUGGGACAUAGAGUUAAAAGAAAUACAGCCUUACGUUUCUUAAAGCUGCUUUUUCUUAGGUUAGGUUAGCUUAGAUAUAAAAGAAAUACAGACUUAGGUGCUUAGGUCUGCCAUUUCUUAUUCUGUUAGAUGAUUUAAAAGAGGUAUAACUUUGGGUGGUCAAGGUUAUUAUCUCUUCAAUUUGGCAGCUGAUAGAUGGAUUCUAUAGUUCUGAAAAGGACUAUGGCCCAUUCUGUUGUGCAGUCAAUUUUACUAGUUGGGGCCUAUGUAGUGCUUUUUUUUUGUAGGAUGAUGGUUGGGAUUUGAGUGGAGAAACACUUUCUAACACAACAAUAUAAAAUAGACAAUUCAUGUCCAAGUAAAAUCUCUCUGUAUUCAUUAUAAUGCUUAAGAAGACUAUUUUCACCUUGACAAUAAACAAAACAGGCUAAAAUAAAAAUCACAAUUAAACAAUCUAUAAACACACCAAUGCCUGUGACACUGAAAUGAUUAUACCCAAAGAAAAUGAUGCCAUUUUUGUUUUAUUUUACCAGAUACAUUUUUACCAAAAUAUACAGAUCAUUGGUAGACUAAUCUCUGCUCUGCCAUAUACAUUUCGGACAAAGCAAUGUAGAACCUAUAAACAGGUCAAAUAUUUGUCAUAGAAUCUUACAUCUGUAUUGCUCCUGAUCCAAAUAUUAAUACUUUUCAACCUAUAUGUAGACCAAGUUCUGUAGUGACACUGAAUGGCCAUGUAAAAUAAAAUUAAAAUGUUUUGUCUAUUACUGAAUCCAUUUCUACCAUAAGACUCGAGAGUAAAAAAGAAUUUAAAUGAUAAAAAUGUACACCAUAAAAAAAUGAACAACUCAUGAAGUUUUUAACAGUAGAGCUUUUAGCCAAAUAAUAUUGCAUGACACUGUAAUCUGCAAUAUCAAUGUGUUGACAAAAUCUGAUUGUUCAUUGCUACACACAUUUCAGACUAAACUGAAUAUAUAGUACAUCUUCUGGCCACCUUAAACUAUGCUAUAACAUAUUAGAGGAUAUGGCCAGAGAACUUUUUGCUUUACCAUCAUACAGUUCAUAGUGCAAACAUUUUUCUCUGUAACACAGUACAGCACUAAACAGCUUAAGAUUUUAAAAAUUACUAGAAUUCCAUAAGACAAUCACUUUUCUGGUUAGAUAAUUAACACCUAAAACAUAUAACAAGACAUAAGUUACAUGUCUACUAAAACUAAAUGUUUUGUUUAUUACUACGUAAGAUAAUGCUGAAAAAAAACAUGUAGCUCAAGAAUUAAUUAAACCAUAACUUAAUAAUGAUGUACACCAUAGAAAUGUACAACACUUGAAGGUUUCAAUACAAUUAAUGACCACAGUAUCAAUACCACCAUAACACAGUAAUAUCAAUGGUCAGAUAAAAUGUAUUUAAACUCUGUAUCUAUUUGAAAUCCAUCUAUAAAAUCAAUUUAAGGCCCAUAGACAGCUAGACGUAAUGCUCAUUACUACACAAAUUUCACACAAUUCAACAUGGUAUAUCUUCUUGCCAGGUAAAACUAUGCUAUGACACAAUAGAGGUCAUGGCCAGAGAAAUAAAUGCUUUACUACCAUACAGUUCAUAGUCCAAAAUUUGCUCUGUAACAAAACACAGCACAAAAUUACACAUAAACACAGUAAGGGUGAAGAUUCUAAAAAAAAAACAAAAAAAAAACAUUGUAAUAUAAUUCCAUAAAACAAUCUUGGUAUGUUUUGAAUACAUUAAGACUAAAAAUGUUGCAGUACAGAAAGUUACAUUACACUGAAUAAUCCAAAACAAGACAAAAUUGCUCAAUGCAUGCAAUGGCCAUCUAAAACUUUAGUGUAAUUACAUUCAUUACUUUUUUGUUUGCAUUGUUCAUAUUUUAAAUGCUUUUCUUUCCAUUAAUGAAAUUUGUAUUUCAGCAAUCACAGGUUCAUACAUCAAGUAA